rnacentral:rRNA from 1 species
AAGCCAUGCAAAUAUAAAUAAAAGUUCCGUAGAGGACGAGAUUGUGAACGGCUCAUUAAAUCAGCAAUAAUUGAAUCGGAAGAAGAGGAAACUCGAACAUGGAUAACCGUGGAAAAUCUAGAGCUAAUACAUGCGAAAGAAGACUCGAAAAGAGGAGCGUUUAUUAGAAGAGAAACCGCGUCGUAGACAAGGUGAUUCAUAGUAACCAAGCAGAUCGCAGGCGAAAGCAGAGCGACAAACCGAACAAAUUUCUGCCCUAUCAACUGAGGACGGUAGCAUAGAGGGCUACGGUGGUAAUGACGGGUAACGGAGAAUUAGGGUUCGAUUCCGGAGAGGGAGCAUGAGAAAUGGCUACCACUUCCAAGGAAGGCAGCAGGCGCGUAAAUUAUCCAAUGGGGACACCCCGAGAUAGUGACAACAAAUAACAAUGGUUGUAUAUAAAGUAUGACCAAUUGGAAUGAAGACAAAUCAAACUACUUACUGAGAAUCAAUUGGAGGGAAAGUUCUGGUGCCAGCAGCCGCGGUAAUUCCAGCUCCAAUAGCGAAUACUAAUUUUGUUGCAGUUAAAACGCUCGUAGUUGGGAAGUUUGUUUAUUGUGGUUGUUUGUGGGGUGGCGUUGCGAAAGCGGCGUCACCUCAAGUGUAACAAUGGCGAUAGAAUAAAAUAGAAGCGUCAACUGGCGUCGCAAGGCGCAAGAGGACGAAAAGUUACUUUGAAUAAAUUAGAGUGUUUAAAGCGAUCAGCUUGAAAGAGAGCGAGGAAAGAAUACGAAAGCAUGGGAUAAGAGAAAAGGAAUUGAAAGAUAGCAGGCGUGGUGAGAGAUUAUGUUUCGAAAAAUGAAAAAGAGGAACGGUCGGGGGUAUUUGAAUUGAAUAGCUAGCGGUGAAAUGCGAGGAUUUGUUCAAGACAAACAUCAGCGAAAGCAUUUACCAAGGACGAGUCCAUUAAUCAAGAACGAAAGUUUGGGGAUCGAAGAUGAUUAGAUACCGUCGUAGUCCAAACUAUAAACGAUACCGACCAAGGAUGAGAGGUCGUUGUAUAAGAGGUGGCGAGGCGCGUAAAAAACGCCUGGCCGCAGAUGAGGACUCCUUUCGAACUUUAGAGGGAAACCGUUGAGUGAUUAGGUUCUGGGGGGAGUACGGUCGCAAGGCUGAAACUUGAAGGAAUUGACGGAAGGGCACCACCAGGUGUGGAACCUGCGGCUUAAUUCGACCCAACACGGGAAAACUUACCAGGUCCGGACACAGGAAGGAUUGACAAUGAUGCGCGAGCAUCGAUAUUGAGAGCUUUUUCUUGGUUCUGUGGGUGGUGGUGCAUGGCCGUUCUUAGUUCGUGGAACUGAUCUGUCUGCUUAAUUGCGUUAACGAACGAGACCUUAG